CUUAUCUCCAUGACACACUGAAGAGCUUCUAAGGAUCUGAUCAGCCCUCGAGUACCUACUUCACUGUCCUAUUGAACAUUUACUCACUUAGAUUAGGACAUUUUCCAAUAACAACCAUAGGUAAUAUUUAUAUAGUUCUAUAUUAUUUUCAAAGUCUCUCUAAUAUUACAUGAAUUGAUCCUCACAGCACAUCUAUGACGCUUUAGUCAAGCAUUUUAGUUGCAAAUAACAGAAACCUAUGUCAAACUUUAAGAAAAAGAGGACAUUUCACUAUCAUCAACAUCAGCAUCUCAUGAAACCCAAAGGCAACCGGCCUCCAAAAAGGCUGGAACAGGGACCUGGAAGGCCAGGAAGUACCAAGGGUCUAGAGUUGGGCCUUGAGGAAACAGACCAUGUUUACUUGUCCAAAUCUGGAAGACUGAACGAAGCAAAAAUACUCAGUGAAAUCUGA
ensembl:lincRNA